rnacentral:misc_RNA from 1 species
AAGUCGUAACAAGGCUUCCGUAGGUGAACCUGCGGAACACGUAUCCAAACGUUAAUGAACCUUUAUUAGUGCGCCCCGUCACGUACCCGAGCCGUAGGAUGUGGUAAAUCAUUGCGUAGUGGUGAGGUUCUCUCAUUGCUACAGAGAUUAGAUUCAGGACCUACGGUUGGGUGACGGCUGCGAGCUAGAAGCGACUGGUAGCCUAAGCAAUAACUUGUCUGACAGUGUCAUGAAGCGUGCACUGGCCAACACGGCUGGUGUCAGGUCCCGGGCCCUCGUGGCUCCCUACCACCCCAUUUUCCGAGAAGAGGGCGAUGGCCAAGUGGCUGGAUACCCCAUAAAAAACGUACAACUGUUAACAAUGGAUAUCUUGGUUCUC